rnacentral:rRNA from 1 species
CCUACGGGGGGCAGCAGUAGGGAAUCUUCCACAAUGGGCGAAAGACUGAUGGAGCAACGCCGCGUGGGUGAAGAAGGUCUUCGGAUCGUAAAACCCUGUUGUUAGAGAAGAAAGUGCGUGAGAGUAACUGUUCACGUUUCGACGGUAUCUAACCAGAUAGCCAAGGCUAACUACGUGACAGCAGCCGCGGUAAUACGUAGGUGGCAAGCUUUAUCCGGAUUUAUUGGGCGUAAAGGGGACGCAGGCGGUCUUUUAAGUCUGAUGUGAAAGCCCUCGGCUUAACCGGAGUAGUGCAUUGGAAACUGGUAGACUUGAGUGCAGAAGAGGAGAGUGGAACUCCAUGUGUAGCGGUGAAAUGCGUAGAUAUAGGGAAGAACACCAGUGGCGAAAGCGGCUCUCUGGUCUGUAACUGACGCUGAGGUUCGAAAGCGUGGGUAGCAAACAGGAUUAGAUACCCCUGUAGUC